CUGGCUUCGCGGCCGGCUGAAAUAUUUUUUUCACCCAUGUCUUUUGCGCACUUGUUGUUUCCUGGGCGGGUUCGCCCGCCACCAGGACCAAACCAUAAACCUUUUUUUUAUGCAGUUGCAAUCAGCGUCAGUAAAAACAAUGUAAUUAUUACAACUUUCAACAACGGAUCUCUUGGUUCUGGCAUCGAUGAAGAACGCAGCGAAAUGCGAUACGUAGUGUGAAUUGCAGAAUUCAGUGAAUCAUCGAAUCUUUGAACGCACAUUGCGCCCUUUGGUAUUCCAAAGGGCAUGCCUGUUCGAGCGUCAUUUGUACCUUCAAGCUUUGCUUGGUGUUGGGCGUUUUUUGUCUCCCUCUUUCUGGGAGACUCGCCUUAAAACGAUUGGCAGCCGGCCUACUGGUUUCGGAGCGCAGCACAUAUUUUGCGCUUUGUAUCAGGAGAAAAGGACGGUAAUCCAUCAAGACUCUACAUUUUUAACUUUUGACCUCGGAUCAGGUAGGGAUACCCGCUGAACUUAAGCAUAU
rnacentral:rRNA from 1 species